rnacentral:sRNA from 1 species
UGACAGCUUUGCUCGAUGGUUGCUAC